rnacentral:rRNA from 1 species
CAGCCGCCACGGUAAUACAGAGGGUGCGAGCGUUAAUCGGAUUUACUGGGCGUAAAGCGUGCGUAGGCGGCUUCUUAAGUCGGAUGUGAAAUCCCUGAGCUUAACUUAGGAAUUGCAUUCGAUACUGGGAAGCUAGAGUAUGGGAGAGGAUGGUAGAAUUCCAGGUGUAGCGGUGAAAUGCGUAGAGAUCUGGAGGAAUACCGGUGGCGAAGGCGGCCCCCUGGACAAAGACUGACGCUCAGGUACGAAAGCGUGGGGAGCAAACAGGAUUAGAUACCCCAGUAGUCCCUGUCUCUUAUAC